rnacentral:rRNA from 1 species
GACGAACGCUGGCGGCGUGCUUAACACAUGCAAGUCGAACGGAAAGGCCCUGCUUUUGUGGGGUGCUCGAGUGGCGAACGGGUGAGUAACACGUGAGUAACCUGCCCUUGACUUUGGGAUAACUUCAGGAAACUGGGGCUAAUACCGGAUAGGAGCUCCUGCUGCAUGGUGGGGGUUGGAAAGUUUCGGCGGUUGGGGAUGGACUCGCGGCUUAUCAGCUUGUUGGUGGGGUAGUGGCUUACCAAGGCUUUGACGGGUAGCCGGCCUGAGAGGGUGACCGGCCACAUUGGGACUGAGAUACGGCCCAGACUCCUACGGGAGGCAGCAGUGGGGAAUAUUGCACAAUGGGCGGAAGCCUGAUGCAGCAACGCCGCGUGCGGGAUGACGGCCUUCGGGUUGUAAACCGCUUUCGCCUGUGACGAAGCGUGAGUGACGGUAAUGGGUAAAGAAGCACCGGCUAACUACGUGCCAGCAGCCGCGGUGAUACGUAGGGUGCGAGCGUUGUCCGGAUUUAUUGGGCGUAAAGGGCUCGUGGGUGGUUGAUCGCGUCGGAAGUGUAAUCUUGGGGCUUAACCCUGAGCGUGCUUUCGAUACGGGUUGACUUGAGGAAGGUAGGGGAGAAUGGAAUUCCCGGUGGAGCGGUGGAAUGCGCAGAUAUCAGGAGGAACACCAGUGGCGAAGGCGGUUCUCUGGGCCUUUCCUGACGCUGAGGAGCGAAAGCGUGGGGAGCGAACAGGCUUAGAUACCCUGGUAGUCCACGCUGUAAACGGUGGGUACUAGGUGUGGGGUCCAUUCCACGGGUUCCGUGCCGUAGCUAACGCUUUAAGUACCCCGCCUGGGGAGUACGGCCGCAAGGCUAAAACUCAAAGGAAUUGACGGGGCCCCGCACAAGCGGCGGAGCAUGCGGAUUAAUUCGAUGCAACGCGUAGAACCUUACCUGGGUUUGACAUGGAUCGGGAGCGCUCAGAGAUGGGUGUGCCUCUUUUGGGGUCGGUUCACAGGUGGUGCAUGGCUGUCGUCAGCUCGUGUCGUGAGAUGUUGGGUUAAGUCCCGCAACGAGCGCAACCCUUGUUCACUGUUGCCAGCACGUUAUGGUGGGGACUCAGUGGAGACCGCCGGGGUCAACUCGGAGGAAGGUGGGGAUGACGUCAAGUCAUCAUGCCCCUUAUGUCCAGGGCUUCACGCAUGCUACAAUGGCUGGUACAGAGAGUGGCGAGCCUGUGAGGGUGAGCGAAUCUCGGAAAGCCGGUCUCAGUUCGGAUUGGGGUCUGCAACUCGACCUCAUGAAGUCGGAGUCGCUAGUAAUCGCAGAUCAGCAACGCUGCGGUGAAUACGUUCCCGGG